GGGAGUAUAACUCAGUUGAUAGAGUAUUUGCCUAUCGUGCACAAAGCCCUGGGUUCAAUCCCCAGCACCA
rnacentral:tRNA from 1 species